rnacentral:rRNA from 1 species
AACGGAGGGGGCAAGUGUUACUCGUCAUGACUGGGCGUAAAGGGUGCGUAGGCGGUUUUUUUAAUUAAGAGUUAAAGCAUAGUUUUUAAGAUUAUAAAGGCUUUUAAUAUUGAAAGACUAGAGUUUGAGAGAGGGUAGUGGUAUUCUUAUUGGAGAGGUGAAAUUUGGAGAUAAUAAGAGGACCACCAAAGGCGAAGGCAACUAUCUGGAGCAAAACUGACGUUGAGGCACGAAAGCAUGGGGAGCAAAUAGG